rnacentral:rRNA from 1 species
AGGACGAACGCUGGCGGCGUGCCUAAUACAUGCAAGUCGAACGGUCUUUUCUAUGGAAGCUUGCUUCCACUGAGAAGAUAGUGGCGAACGGGUGAGUAACACGUGGGUAACCUGCCCAUAAGAGGGGGGAUAACAUCCGGAAACGGGUGCUAAUACCGCAUAGUUUUCUUGGUCGCAUGAUCGGGAAAGGAAAGGCGGCCUUUGUGCUGUCGCUUAUGGAUGGACCCGCGGCGUAUUAGUUAGUUGGUGAGGUAACGGCUCACCAAGACGAUGAUACGUAGCCGACCUGAGAGGGUGAUCGGCCACAUUGGGACUGAGACACGGCCCAAACUCCUACGGGAGGCAGCAGUAGGGAAUCUUCCGCAAUGGACGAAAGUCUGACGGAGCAACGCCGCGUGAGUGAAAGAAGGUUUUCGGAUCGUAAAACUCUGUUGUCAGAGAAGAACAAGUUGGAGAGUAACUGCUCCAGCCUUGACGGUAUCUGACCAGAAAGCCACGGCUAACUACGUGCCAGCCGCCGC